CGGUGUAUAGCGCAGUCUGGUAGCGCAUUUUGUUCGGGACGAAAGGGUCGGGGGGGGGGGGGGCCCGCCACACCGACCA
rnacentral:tRNA from 1 species